GGCUCAAUGGUGUAGUGGUUAUCACUCCUGUCUUACAUCAAACAUGCACACAGGCGGUCGUCGGUUCGAUCCCGGCUUGAGUCA
rnacentral:tRNA from 1 species